GACGAACAGCCAGGAACUUCUGGAACUAGCAGUGCUAGCUGCGCUAAACGCAUUUGCCUGGAGUCACCAUGCCCAAGUACACCUGGCCUUGAUACCAGUGCCAGCAUUGAAGUUGGUGAAACGGAUGAAAGGCACUACAAAACAGGUGGAAGUGCAUUCCACACCAUGUGGUCAAUGAACAUCGAUGGACUGACACGGAUGGAAAGCGGCAUCACUGUGACCAUGCUCCUCUAACAGCUGAGGAGCAGAAGAAGAGGAUGUGGCUGAAGAAGGACUCGGUGGCAUAUCAGGACCUGACGUCACUCGUCUUUGAUAAAAGGCUUUUGAAAGAUCUUCAGAAGAUGGCCCUCUUCAAACAUACUGGGCCACUGGAGAUCUUUCACAGAGCUCUCCUGAAGUACCUCCCUAAAUGCCAGGCCUUCUCCUACGAGGGAGAGGGCCUACCUCGCCAUCAUGGAACAUAAUGAGAGCAUUGUGGCACGAGAACAAGCCACCACGGCAACAGGAGAACCAUGCGUCAAGCAGGUGUUCUGCAAAAAGUCAAAGCAAUGG